ACAUUUCAGUCAGUGCAGUGAGGCAUCAGGGGUUCAUCUUCAUUGUUUAUGAGCUACGCUGCUAAGCUAUCACUUCCUCCACCUCCAAAACCAAAACAACACAGUAGCAUCACAGCCAUGCCUCGGAUUGAAAUACGAGUCAUCACUGACCUACAUAAGGAUGUAAUUAUUAUCUACAGGAACGCGGCAUAUAAACACAAAUUCAUCUAUUUGAAAAGAAAGAUUAAUGAAUCUAUAGGCAUUUCUCCGUUUCGCCAGAUUCUUACUCUGAAUCUACCAGGAGGAGAUAAUAGGGUUAUUGAAGGUGCGAAGCUUAAUCACAAGUUCUCGAUGUAUUACACUAGGGGAAAAGAAUUUUUGGAAAAUCACUUUAACUGUGACUCCUGAAAGGAGUAGAGAUCAUCUUAUAGAAGUUAGUUUGUUCCGUCUGGUGAACGGGAAAAAGAAAGAAACUAGAGAUGCCAUGGUGGUAGUGGACAAGGAUGAUACUGUGUUGACACUAAAAUGGAAAUUAUGUGACCUUGGCUUUGGGGAAGGGUUAGUCUGUACAUGUGAGCGCUUUGAUAAAACGACAGGGAAGAAAGUUCAUGAAGAGCUACUAGAUAAUUAUAUGGUGUCGUACUACUGUGAAGACGGGGAGGUGGUAUGUUUUCACGACCCCCUGCCGGUUAAGAGUCCUAUGGUUAUGGUGCUGGACGUCUCAUCGGAUUCUGACUCACAAGAUGAGGGCAUCAUGAUAGAAGAAGAAGAAGGGCUCGACACUGAUCGAAGUGUUUUAUCUUCCUAAGCUGCUAAUGUUAUGGGGUUAGAUGGGCUUUAACUUUACAGAUUUUCUAUUUGUUUUUGAUGGAUGUUAGUACCUAUUUCCUUUCUUGAUUUUGAACAUCCAUACAUGCUAUUGUUCAGCAAUUAAACUCCACCAGGGAAAGCCAGACAAACACUGAAGAAAUACUUGUGAUGGUGAUGUAAUUAGGAUCAGUAUUUGGGAGAAAUUGUGGUUUAUUUGGUUGCUUUAUGUUUUCCAUUGUGUUGUUUUAUGGAUUUUGGUAGGUUGGAUUUGAUCGUUACUUCUUUUGUUAUAACCACUGAAUGGUUUUUCUA